UACGUAGGGUGCAAGCGUUGUCCGGAAUUAUUGGGCGUAAAGAGCUCGUAGGCGGUUUGUCGCGUCGAAUGUGAAAACCCGGGGCUCAACCCCGGGCCUGCAUUCGAUACGGGCAGACUAGAGUUCGGUAGGGGAGUCUGGAAUUCCUGGGUGUAGCGGUGAAAUGCGCAGAUAUCAGGAGGAACACCGGUGGCGAAGGCGGGUCUCUGGGCCAAAACUGACGCUGAGGAGCGAAAGCGUGGGGAGCGAACAGG
rnacentral:rRNA from 1 species